AGAAUCAACGCUGGCGGCGUGCCUAACACAUGCAAGUCGAACGAGAAAGGGGAGCAAUCCCUGAGUACAGUGGCGCACGGGUGAGUAACACGUGACUAACCUACCCUGGAGUGGGGAAUAACUGAGGGAAACCUUAGCUAAUACCGCAUAAUACCUACGGGUCAAAGGAGCAAUUCGCUUCAGGAGGGGGUCGCGGCCGAUUAGCUAGUUGGCGGGGUAAUGGCCCACCAAGGCAAUGAUCGGUAUCCGGCCUGAGAGGGCGCACGGACACACUGGAACUGAAACACGGUCCAGACUCCUACGGGAGGCAGCAGUGGGAAUUUUGCGCAAUGGGGGAAACCCUGACGCAGCAACGCCGCGUGGAGGAUGAAAUCCCUUGGGAUGUAAACUCCUUUCGAUCGGGACGAUUAUGACGUUACCGGAAGAAGAGCCCCGGCUAACUUCGCGCCAGCAGCCGC
rnacentral:rRNA from 1 species